rnacentral:rRNA from 1 species
UAGUGAGUUUGAUCCUGGCUCAGAACGAACGCUGGCGGCGUGCAUAAUACAUGCAAGUCGAGCGCAGGAAGCUCACGGAACUCUUCGGAGGGAAGUGAAGGGAAUGAGCGGCGGACGGGUGAGUAACACGUAAGGAACCUGCCCCAAGGAUUGGGAUAACUCCGAGAAAUCGGAGCUAAUACCGAAUAGUUCUUCAGACCGCAUGGUCUGAUGAUGAAGGCGCUCCGGCGUCACCUUGGGAUGGCCUUGCGGUGCAUUAGCUAGUUGGUGGGGUAAUGGCCCA